GGCCUGGCUGGGUGGUCUUGCUGCAAGGUAAGCACUGCUCUGGUCGGGUCUUUCCUUCUGGGGAACCAGUGUGCUCUUAGUUGAGUGCGCUGGGGAUCCAGGACUUUUACUUUGAAAAAAUUAGAGUGUUUAAAGCAGGCUUACGCUUGAAUACAUUAGCAUGGAAUAAUAAAACAGGCC
rnacentral:rRNA from 1 species